rnacentral:rRNA from 1 species
CUUACCUUGCUCCCUGAUGUUAGCGGCGGACGGGUGAGUAACACGUGGGUAACCUGCCUGUAAGACUGGGAUAACUCCGGGAAACCGGGGCUAAUACCGGAUGGUUGUUUGAACCGCAUGGUUCAAACAUAAAAGGUGGCUUCGGCUACCACUUACAGAUGGACCCGCGGCGCAUUAGCUAGUUGGUGAGGUAACGGCUCACCAAGGCGACGAUGCGUACCCGACCUGAGAGGGUGAUCGGCCACACUGGGACUGAGACACGGCCCAGACUCCUACGGGAGGCAGCAGUAGGGAAUCUUCCGCAAUGGACGAAAGUCUGACGGAGCAUCGCCCCGUGAGUGAUGAAGGUUUUCGGAUCGUAAAGCUCUGUUGUUAGGGAAGAACAAGUACCGUUCGAAUAGGGCGGUGCCUUGACGGUACCUAACCAGAUAGCCACGGCUAACUAC